CCUACGGGAGGCAGCAGUGAGGAAUAUUGGUCAAUGGACGAGAGUCUGAACCAGCCAAGUAGCGUGAAGGAUGACUGCCCUAUGGGUUGUAAACUUCUUUUAUAUGGGAAUAAAAUGUUCCACGUGUGGGACUUUGUAUGUAUCAUAUGAAUAAGGAUCGGCUAACUCCGUGCCAGCAGCCGCGGUAAUACGGAGGUUUCGAGCGUUAUCCGGAUUUAUUGGGUUUAAAGGGAGCGUAGGUGGCUUGUUAAGUCAGUUGUGAAAGUUUGCGGCUCAACCGUAAAAUUGCAGUUGAAACUGGCAGUCUUGAGUACAGUAGAGGUGGGCGGAAUUCGUGGUGUAGCGGUGAAAUGCUUAGAUAGCACGAAGAACUCCGAUUGCGAAGGCAGCUCACUGGACUUCAACUGACACUGAGGCACGAAAGUGUGGGGAUCGAACAGGAUUAGAUACCCUGGUAGUC
rnacentral:rRNA from 1 species